GAGAUUUUGACGGCGGCGUGGUGGUUGUGUUGAGCGAGGAAGAUGAUGAAGUGAAGAUGAAGGGUGGGCUGAUGAUUUGGUGUAGGUUUCGUGGAGUGAAGGUUGGAGAAAAUGAAGGGUGGCGGCGGAGAGUGAGUGUGUGGAAGAAGGGUUUCGGUGAAGGAGCAGAUGAAAAUGAAGGUGGCGGCUAGGUUUUGUGAGGAAGAAGGGUGAAGGCGGCUAGGUUUUCUCUGUCUAGAGAAGAGGAACGAUCGUUUCACUUUUAUUCUUAUUUUCUUUUUUUUUUUUGUCCUUUUCAGAAAAAGAUCUCUCUUCCUGAGAGAGUCCCAAAGAGACGUUGAGACUGCCCCUUUUGUCUCCUAAGCAUCUAUUUUUCUUUAUUAUGUGCUUUUGUUUUUUUUUUUUUUUUUGUGUCAAAGGAUUAUUGGCUGAGGAGGAUAAUUGAGGAUAGGGAUCCAUGUGCUUUUUAAUUGGGAUCAUUGAUUAUUUU
rnacentral:lncRNA from 1 species